UACGAAGGGUGCAAACGUUGCUCGGAAUUAUUGGGGCGUAAAGCGCACGUAGGCGGCUUAGCAAGUCCCAUGUGAAAUCCCACGGCUUAACCGUGGAAGUGCAUGGGAAACUGCUGAGCUUGAGUACUUAAGAGGAUCGCGGAAUUCCCGGUGUAGAGGUGAAAUUCGUAGAUAUCAGGAGGAACACCGGUGGCGAAGGCGGUUCUCUGGGCAUUACCUGACGCUGAGGAGCGAAAGUGUGGGGGAGCGAACAGG
rnacentral:rRNA from 1 species